AGAAUCAACGCUGGCGGCGUGCUUAACACAUGCAAGUCGAACGAGGUCUGUAGCAAUACAGAUACUCGUGGCGAACGGGUGCGUAACACGUGGAUAACCUUCCUUCAGGUGGGGAAUAACCCAGUGAAAAUUGGGCUAAUACCGCAUAACAUGACGAUGCCACAUGGUGUUGUCUUCAAAGGCGCAAGUCGCCAGAAGAGGGAUCCGCGGCCGAUUAGCUAGUUGGCGAGGUAAUGGCUCACCAAGGCAAUGAUCGGUA
rnacentral:rRNA from 1 species